rnacentral:rRNA from 1 species
AGCGUACACGGUGGAUGCCCUGGCAGUCAGAGGCGAUGAAGGACGUGCUAAUCUGCGAAAAGCGUCGGUAAGGUGAUAUGAACCGUUAUAACCGGCGAUGUCCGAAUGGGGAAACCCAGUGUGAUUCGUCACACUAUCGUUAACUGAAUACAUAGGUUAACGAGGCGAACCGGGGGAACUGAAACAUCUAAGUACCCCGAGGAAAAGAAAUCAACCGAGAUUCCCCCAGUAGCGGCGAGCGAACGGGGAGCAGCCCAGAGUCUGAAUCAGCUUGUGUGUUAGUGGAACGGUCUGGAAAGUCCGACGGUACAGGGUGAUAGUCCCGUACACCAAAAUGCACAGGCUGUGAACUCGAAGAGUAGGGCGGGACACGUGGUAUCCUGUCUGAAUAUGGGGGGACCAUCCUCCAAGGCUAAAUACUCCUGACUGACCGAUAGUGAACCAGUACCGUGAGGGAAAGGCGAAAAGAACCCCGGCGAGGGGAGUGAAAAAGAACCUGAAACCGUGUACGUACAAGCAGUGGGAGCACCUUCGGGUGUGACUGCGUACCUUUUGUAUAAUGGGUCAGCGACUUAUAUUCUGUAGCAAGGUUAACCGUAUAGGGGAGCCGCAGGGAAACCGAGUCUUAACUGGGCGUUAAGUUGCAGGGUAUAGACCCGAAACCCGGUGAUCUAGCCAUGGGCAGGUUGAAGGUUGGGUAACACUAACUGGAGGACCGAACCGACUAAUGUUGAAAAAUUAGCGGAUGACUUGUGGCUGGGGGUGAAAGGCCAAUCAAACCGGGAGAUAGCUGGUUCUCCCCGAAAGCUAUUUAGGUAGCGCCUCGUGAACUCAUCUUCGGGGGUAGAGCACUGUUUCGGCUAGGGGGUCAUCCCGACUUACCAACCCGAUGCAAACUACGAAUACCGAAGAAUGUUAUCACGGGAGACACACGGCGGGUGCUAACGUCCGUCGUGAAGAGGGAAACAACCCAGACCGCCAGCUAAGGUCCCAAAGUCAUGGUUAAGUGGGAAACGAUGUGGGAAGGCACAGACAGCCAGGAUGUUGGCUUAGAAGCAGCCAUCAUUUAAAGAAAGCGUAAUAGCUCACUGGUCGAGUCGGCCUGCGCGGAAGAUGUAACGGGGCUAAACCAUGCACCGAAGCUGCGGCAGCGACACUAUGUGUUGUUGGGUAGGGGAGCGUUCUGUAAGCCUGCGAAGGUGNUGCUGGAGGUAUCAGAAGUGCGAAUGCUGACAUAAGUAACGAUAAAGCGGGUGAAAAGCCCGCUCGCCGGAAGACCAAGGGUUCCUGUCCAACGUUAAUCGGGGCAGGGUGAGUCGACCCCUAAGGCGAGGCCGAAAGGCGUAGUCGAUGGGAAACAGGUUAAUAUUCCUGUACUUGGUGUUACUGCGAAGGGGGGACGGAGAAGGCUAUGUUAGCCGGGCGACGGUUGUCCCGGUUUAAGCAUGUAGGCUGAUUAUCCAGGCAAAUCCGGAUAAUCAAGGCUGAGGUGUGAUGACGAGGCACUACGGUGCUGAAGUAACAAAUGCCCUGCUUCCAGGAAAAGCCUCUAAGCAUCAGGUAACAUCAAAUCGUACCCCAAACCGACACAGGUGGUCAGGUAGAGAAUACCAAGGCGCUUGAGAGAACUCGGGUGAAGGAACUAGGCAAAAUGGUGCCGUAACUUCGGGAGAAGGCACGCUGGUGUGUAGGUGAAGUCCCUGCGGAUGGAGCUGAGACCAGUCGAAGAUACCAGCUGGCUGCAACUGUUUAUUAAAAACACAGCACUGUGCAAACACGAAAGUGGACGUAUACGGUGUGACGCCUGCCCGGUGCCGGAAGGUUAAUUGAUGGGGUUAUCCGUAAGGAGAAGCUCUUGAUCGAAGCCCCGGUAAACGGCGGCCGUAACUAUAACGGUCCUAAGGUAGCGAAAUUCCUUGUCGGGUAAGUUCCGACCUGCACGAAUGGCGUAAUGAUGGCCAGGCUGUCUCCACCCGAGACUCAGUGAAAUUGAACUCGCUGUGAAGAUGCAGUGUACCCGCGGCAAGACGGAAAGACCCCGUGAACCUUUACUAUAGCUUGACACUGAACAUUGAGCCUUGAUGUGUAGGAUAGGUGGGAGGCUUUGAAGCGUGGACGCCAGUCUGCGUGGAGCCAACCUUGAAAUACCACCCUUUAAUGUUUGAUGUUCUAACGUUGGCCCCUGACCGGGGUUGCGGACAGUGUCUGGUGGGUAGUUUGACUGGGGCGGUCUCCUCCCAAAGCGUAACGGAGGAGCACGAAGGUUAGCUAAUCCUGGUCGGACAUCAGGAGGUUAGUGCAAUGGCAUAAGCUAGCUUGACUGCGAGCGUGACGGCGCGAGCAGGUGCGAAAGCAGGUCAUAGUGAUCCGGUGGUUCUGAAUGGAAGGGCCAUCGCUCAACGGAUAAAAGGUACUCCGGGGAUAACAGGCUGAUACCGCCCAAGAGUUCAUAUCGACGGCGGUGUUUGGCACCUCGAUGUCGGCUCAUCACAUCCUGGGGCUGAAGUAGGUCCCAAGGGUAUGGCUGUUCGCCAUUUAAAGUGGUACGCGAGCUGGGUUUAGAACGUCGUGAGACAGUUCGGUCCCUAUCUGCCGUGGGCGCUGGAGAAUUGAGGGGGGCUGCUCCUAGUACGAGAGGACCGGAGUGGACGCAUCACUGGUGUUCGGGUUGUCAUGCCAAUGGCACUGCCCGGUAGCUAAAUGCGGAAGAGAUAAGUGCUGAAAGCAUCUAAGCACGAAACUUGCCCCGAGAUGAGUUCU